rnacentral:rRNA from 1 species
GUGUCAGCAGCCGCGGUAAUACGGAGGGGGUUAGCGUUGUUCGGAAUUACUGGGCGUAAAGCGCACGUAGGCGGAUCAGAAAGUUGGGGGUGAAAUCCCGGGGCUCAACCCCGGAACUGCCUCCAAAACUCCUGGUCUUGAGUUCGAGAGAGGUGAGUGGAAUUGCGAGUGUAGAGGUGAAAUUCGUAGAUAUUCGCAGGAACACCAGUGGCGAAGGCGGCUCACUGGCUCGAUACUGACGCUGAGGUGCGAAAGUGUGGGGAGCAAACAGGAUUAGAUACCCUGGUAGUCCACACCGUAAACGAUGAAUGCCAGUCGUCGGCAAGCAUGCUUGUCGGUGACACACCUAACGGAUUAAGCAUUCCGCCUGGGGAGUACGGCCGCAAGGUUAAAACUCAAAUGAAUUGACGGGG